rnacentral:rRNA from 1 species
GAUCCUGGCUCAGGAUGAACGCUAGCGACAGGCUUAACACAUGCAAGUCGAGGGGGCAGCACAGGUAGCAAUACCGGGUGGCGACCGGCGCACGGGUGAGUAACGCGUAUGCAACUUGCCUAUCAGAGGGGGAUAACCCGGCGAAAGUCGGACUAAUACCGCAUGAAGCAGGGGUCCCGCAUGGGGAUAUUUGCUAAAGAUUCAUCGCUGAUAGAUAGGCAUGCGUUCCAUUAGG